GACGAACGCUGGCGGCGUGCUUAACACAUGCAAGUCGAACGGUGAAGGGGCCUGCUUUUGUGGGCCCUGGAUGAGUGGCGAACGGGUGAGUAACACGUGAGUAACCUGCCCCCUUCUUCUGGAUAACCGCAUGAAAGUGUGGCUAAUACGGGAUAUUCUGGGUCUGUCGCAUGAUGGGUCUGGGAAAGAUUGCGCCUUUGGGUGUUUUUGGUGGGGGAUGGGCUCGCGGCCUAUCAGCUUGUUGGUGGGGUGAUGGCCUACCAAGGCGGUGACGGGUAGCCGGCCUGAGAGGGUGGACGGUCACACUGGGACUGAGACACGGCCCAGACGCCUACGGGAGGCAGCAGUGGGGAAUAUUGCACAAUGGGCGCAAGCCUGAUGCAGCGACGCCGCGUGAGGGAUGGAGGCCUUCGGGUUGUAAACCUCUUUCGCCAGUGAAGCAGGCCUGCUCCUUGUGGGUGGGUUGACGGUAGCUGGAUAAGAAGCGCCGGCUAACUACGUG
rnacentral:rRNA from 1 species